CCUACGGGUCGCACCAGUGGGGAAUAUUGGACAAUGGGCGAAAGCCUGAUCCAGCAAUGCCGCGUGUGUGAAGAAGGUCUUCGGAUUGUAAAGCACUUUCGACGGGGACGAUGAUGACGGUACCCGUAGAAGAAGCCCCGACUAACUUCGUGCCAGCAGCCGCGGUAAUACGAAGGGGGCUAGCGUUGCUCGGAAUGACUGGGCGUAAAGGGCGCGUAGGCGGUUUAUGCAGUCAGAUGUGAAAUCCCCGGGCUUAACCUGGGAACUGCAUUUGAGGCGCAUAGACUAGAGGUCGGGGGAGGGUUGUGGAAUUCCCAGUGUAGAGGUGAAAUUUGUAGAUAUUGGGAAGAACACCGGUGGCGAAGGCGGCAACCUGGCUCGAUACUGACGCUGAGGCGCGAAAGCGUGGGGAGCAAACAGGAUUAGAUACCCUAGUAGUC
rnacentral:rRNA from 1 species